rnacentral:rRNA from 1 species
GAUGAGCAUGCGUCCCAUUAGCUAGUUGGUAAGGUAACGGCUUACCAAGGCUACGAUGGGUAGGGGUCCUGAGAGGGAGAUCCCCCACACUGGUACUGAGACACGGACCAGACUCCUACGGGAGGCAGCAGUGAGGAAUAUUGGACAAUGGGCGCAAGCCUGAUCCAGCCAUGCCGCGUGCAGGAUGACGGUCCUAUGGAUUGUAGACUGCUUUUAUACGAGAAGAAACACUCCUUCGUGAAGGAGCUUGACGGUAUCGUAAGAAUAAGGAUCGGCUAACUCCGUGCCAGCAGCCGCGGUAAUACGGAGGAUCCAAGCGUUAUCCGGAAUCAUUGGGUUUAAAGGGUCCGUAGGCGGUUUAAUAAGUCAGUGGUGAAAGCCCAUCGCUCAACGGUGGAACGGCCAUUGAUACUGUUAGACUUGAAUUAUUAGGAAGUAACUAGAAUAUGUAGUGUAGCGGUGAAAUGCUUAGAGAUUACAUGGAAUACCAAUUGCGAAGGCAGGUUACUACUAAUUGAUUGACGCUGAUGGA